GACCAAAUGGCCGAAUGGGUAUGCCGUUGGACGGCCAAUCCAAGAGGAUUUCCUUGCGUGGGUUCGAAUCCCGUCCUCGUUGGCGCA